rnacentral:rRNA from 1 species
UUUAUAUAAUAUUAACAUAAUUCAUAUUACUAUUUUUUAAGUAUAUGAAAUUUUACUUUGAGAAAAUUAGAGUGCUUAAAGCAGGCUUUUGCCUUGAAUACUCCAGCAUGGAAUAAUAUUAAAGAUUUUUAUCUUUCUUAUUGGUUCUAAGAUAGAAAUAAUGAUUAAUAGGGACAGUUGGGGGCAUUUGUAUUUAACAGUCAGAGGUGAAAUUCUUAGAUUUGUUAAAGACAAACUAAUGCGAAAGCAUUUGCCAAGGAUGUUUUCAUUAAUCAAGAACGAAAGUUAGGGGAUCGAAGACGAUCAGAUAC